rnacentral:rRNA from 1 species
UACGUAGGGACCGAGCGUUGUCCGGAUUCAUUGGGCGUAAAGAGCUCGUAGGCGGCUGUUCAAGUCGAACGUGAAAACUCGGAGCUCAACUCCGAGCCUGCGUUCGAUACUGGACGGCUAGAGUCUGGUAGGGGGAUCUGGAAUUCCUGGUGUAGCGGUGGAAUGCGCAGAUAUCAGGAGGAACACCGGUGGCGAAGGCGGCUCUCUAGUACGGUACUGACGCUGAGACGCGAAAGCGUGGGGAGCGAACAGG